UCCGGUUGAUCCUGCCGGACCCCACUGCUAUCGGGAUAGGACUAAGACAUGCUAGUCGAGUGAUUCAGGCAAACGAGUCACGGCACACAGCUCAGUAACACGUGGCUAAUCUGCCUUAGGACGAGAACAACCCCGGGAAACUGGGGCUAACUCUCGAUAGGCGAAGAACUCUGGAAUGAGUCUUUACUAAAUAGUGCAACGUUAUCCUCGUUGCAUCGCUAAGGAUGAGGCCGCGACCGAUCAGGUUGUUGGCGAGGUAAUGGCUCACCAAGCCUUUUACCGGUGCGGGCCGUGAGAGCGGGAGCCCGGAGAUGGGCACUGAGACAAGGGCCCAGGCCCUACGGGGCGCAGCAGUCGCGAAAACUUUGCAAUAAGCGAAAGCUUGACAGGGCUAUCCCGAGUGCCAUCCGCUGAGGAAGGCUUUUACCCAGUCUAGAACGCUGGGGGAAUAAGGAGAGGGCAAGUCUGGUGUCAGCCGCCGCGGUAAUACCAGCUCUCCGAGUGGUGUGGAUGUUUAUUGGGCCUAAAGCAUCCGUAGCUGGCUAGGUCAGUCCCUUGUUAAAUCCACCGAAUUAAUCGUUGGAUUGCGGGGGAUACUGCUUGGCUAGGGGACGAGAGAGGCAGACGGUAUUUUCGGGGUAGGGGUGAAAUCCUAUAAUCCCGGGAAGACCACCAGUGGCGAAGGCUGUCUGCUAGAACGCGCCCGACGGUGAGGGAUGAAAGCUGGGGGAGCGAACCGGAUUAGAUACCCGGGUAGUCCCAGCUGUAAACGAUGCAGGCUAGGUGUUUGGACGGCCACGUGCCGUUCUAGUGCCGCAGGGAAGCUGUUAAGUCUGCCGCCUGGGGAGUACGAUCGCAAGAUUGAAACUUAAAGGAAU
rnacentral:rRNA from 1 species